UACGAAGGGGGCUAGCGUUGCUCGGAAUUACUGGGCGUAAAGCGCACGUAGGCGGAUUGUUAAGUCGGGGGUGAAAUCCUGGAGCUCAACUCCAGAACUGCCUUCGAUACUGGCGAUCUCGAGUUCGGGAGAGGUGAGUGGAACUGCGAGUGUAGAGGUGAAAUCCGUAGAUAUUCGCAAGAACACCAGUGGCGAAGGCGGCUCACUGGCCCGAUACUGACGCUGAGGUGCGAAAGCGUGGGGAGCAAACAGG
rnacentral:rRNA from 1 species